rnacentral:rRNA from 1 species
CCUACGGGAGGCAGCAGUGGGGAAUAUUGCACAAUGGGCGGAAGCCUGAUCCAGCGACGCCGCGUGGAUGAAGGAGUCCUUCGGUGCGUAAAGCUCUUUCAGCAGGAAAGAAAAUGCCGAUACCUGUCUAAGAAGCCCCGGCUAAUUACGGGCCAGAAGAGGCGGUAAUACGGAGGGGGCAAGCGUUAUCCGGAUUUACUGGGUGUAAUGGGAGCGUAGACGGCAGUGCAAGUCCGGAGUGAAAGCCCGGGGCUCAACCCUGGGACUGCUCUUGAAAAUGUAGGGCUGGAGUGUGGGAGGGGCAGGCGGAAUGCCUGGUGUAGCGGUGAAAGGCGUAGAUAUCAGGAGGAACACCGGCGGCGAAGGCGGCCUGCUGGACCGUAACUGACGUUGAGGCUCGAAAGCGUGGGGAGCAAACAGGAUUAGAUACCCCGGUAGUC